UCUUUUUAUUUUAUGAUAGGAUCGGUGUUGACCAUGUCACUUUGGCAAACAUUCCGUAAUGAAACCAAGAAUGUAUCACUGAUUGUUAUGCUGUUUGUUGUACUACUUCAUGCUGGGAUUGCGAUUGGUUUUAAGUUCUUUUAUUUCAGGCAGAUUAGUUAUAGUCCCGUCCAGCCCACAACAGCAGGAACUGUGUCAACAACACUUGCAAUACAUUCCAUUACUAAUGCAACUAAUGCCAAUACACUUCAUUAAAAAUAAUAUCAUUAUUAUUAAGA